rnacentral:rRNA from 1 species
UGGGGAAUAUUGCACAAUGGGCGCAAGCCUGAUGCAGCAACGCCGCGUGAACGAUGAAGGUCUUCGGAUCGUAAAGUUCUGUUGCAGGGGAAGAUAAUGACGGUACCCUGUGAGGAAGCCCCGGCUAACUACGUGCCAGCAGCCGCGGUAAUACGUAGGGGGCUAGCGUUAUCCGGAUUUACUGGGCGUAAAGGGUGCGUAGGUGGUCUUUCAAGUCGGUGGUUAAAGGCUACGGCUCAACCGUAGUUAGCCUCCGAAACUGGAAGACUUGAGUGCAGGAGAGGAAAGUGGAAUUCCCAGUGUAGCGGUGAAAUGCGUAGAUAUUGGGGGGAACACCAGUAGCGAAGGCGGCUUUCUGGACUGCAACUGACACUGAGGAACGAAAGCGUGGGUAGCAAACAGG